rnacentral:rRNA from 1 species
CGAUUCUGGCUCAGGAUGAACGCUGGCGGCGUGCUUAACACAUGCAAGUCGAACGAAGCAACUUAUUACGAUCCCUUCGGGGUGACGAUUGUGACUGAGUGGCGGACGGGUGAGUAACGCGUGGGUAACCUGCCUGUACAGGGGGACAACAGUUGGAAACGACUGCUAAUACCGCAUAAGCGCACAGCUUCGCAUGAAGCAGUGUGAAAAGUUUUUCGGUACAAGAUGGACCCGCGUCUGAUUAGCUAGUUGGUGAGGUAACGGCCCACCAAGGCGACGAUCAGUAGCCGACCUGAGAGGGUGACCGGCCACAUUGGGACUGAGACACGGCCCAAACUCCUACGGGAGGCAGCAGUGGGGAAUAUUGCACAAUGGGCGAAAGCCUGAUGCAGCGAACCGCCGCGUGAGCGAAGAAGUAUUUCGGUAUGUAAAGCUCUAUCAGCAGGGAAGAUAAUGACGGUACCUGACUAAGAAGCACCGGCUAAAUACGUGCCAGCAGCUGC